rnacentral:rRNA from 1 species
AGUUGGUAAGGUAAUGGCUUACCAAGGCAACGAUCAGUAGUUGGUCUGAGAGGACGACCAGCCACACUGGGACUGAGACACGGCCCAGACUCCUACGGGAGGCAGCAGUGGGGAAUUUUGGACAAUGGGCGCAAGCCUGAUCCAGCAAUGCCGCGUGAGUGAAGAAGGCCUUCGGGUUGUAAAGCUCUUUCAGUUGAGAAGAAAAGAUUGUGACUAAUAAUUGCAAUUCAUGACGGUAUCAACAGAAGAAGCACCGGCUAACUACGUGCCAGCAGCCGCGGUAAUACGUAGGGUGCGAGCGUUAAUCGGAAUUACUGGGCGUAAAGGGUGCGCAGGCGGCUCUGCAAGUCAGAUGUGAAAUCCCCGGGCUUAACCUGGGAACUGCGUUUGAAACUACAAAGCUAGA